UAACCUUACCCGAGGUACAUGCAAGUAUGCUUAAUGAUACCAGGGGUACAUGUAAGUAGUACCCAAGCUGUGAAUAACCAAUCGAGCGUGAGUAAAGUAGAUUGUACCUUAUGUCUUUAAUAAUUGCAGAACAAUUACCUUAAUUAUUUCUAUAUUGUUUCCAUUUGAUUACAAUUUAUUUAUUUGUCAAAUUCAAUUCUGCAGUGCUAUAAAUAUGCACCCCCCCAUCCAAAAAAUUUAUUUCGUGCAUAUUGAUGGGGCUUUUUUAUUUAUUUACCCCUUUUCUGCAUUCCUCCCUUUUGUGUUGGUAAUGUGAACAUGAAAUGAUGAGCACUUUCAUGUUAAUGAAUAACUUUUAUUUUUUUUAUAAAUUUUGGCAUAUUGCAUAUUGCCAAGGGAGAUGUUUACUGAGGAUUCCAUGCCAUUAAUGUGCAGGCUGUUGCUGACGCCAGCAUGAGCAAUAUCUGAGCACGAAUGAUGAGGGUCAUCUGCUGGGAGAUAGUGGGUAUCCGUUAAGGACUAACCUGAUGACCCCUUAACCUCAUCCCUCCCAUGCUGUGGAACAGGCCUACAAUGACCAUCUAUGUAGAGGAUAUCUGCAUGCCACUGGUGGAUGUUGGCCUUUCAAGUCCAAUAAGUGCUGUGAAAUAUCAACUGUGUACAUGCCCCUGCAUAACCUGUGUCUGGAUUCAAACGUUCCACUGAUAGAGGAAUUGGUUGGAAAUGUGAUGGAACCGGAAGUUUUGAACAACACACCAGUACAUCGAGCAGCAUGUGAUAAGAGGCAGCAGCUGAUCAAACUGUUUCAUAAAAUGUGUUAAAAAUUUAUAGUUAUAAAUGUUAUAAAGUGAUAGAUGGCUUGAGUCUUCUCUGAAUAGGCAGAGCUACACUACUCAGCCAAAUGGCGUAAAGUUGUGUCAUAGCUGAUUUGG